rnacentral:rRNA from 1 species
AGGAUGAACGCUGGCGGCGUGCUUAACACAUGCAAGUCGAACGCGCAUCCUCCGAACUUCGGUGAGGGGAGGGCAAGGUGGACGAACGGGUGAGUAACACGUAGGAACCUGCCCUGGAGUGGGGGAAAACGGCUGGAAACGGUCGCUAAUCCCGCAUAGUCUCCUUCGGGAGUAAAGCUUUAGCGCUUCAGGAAGGGCCUGCGGCCUAUCAGGUAGUUGGUGGGGUAAAGGCCUACCAAGCCGAUGACGGGUAGGGGGCGUGAGAGCGCGACCCCCCACACGGGAACUGAGACACGGUCCCGACGCCUACGGGCGGCAGCAGUGAGGAAUCUUGCGCAAUGGGGGGAAACCCUGACGCAGCGACGCCGCGUGCGGGAAGAAGGCCUUCGGGUCGUAAACCGCUUUCUGUGGGACGAGGAAGGACGGUACACAGGAACAAGUCCCGGCUAACUACGUGCCAGCAGCCGC